rnacentral:rRNA from 1 species
GUCGAGAAUCUUUAACAAUGGGGGCAACCCUGAUGGAGCGACGCCGCGUGGAGGAUAAGGUCUUCGGAUUGUAAACUCCUGUCAUGCGUGAACAAGGUUGCUUGGUUAAUACCUGGGCAAAUUGAUGGUAACGCAAGAGGAAGAGACGGCUAACUCUGUGCCAGCAGCCGCGGUAAUACAGAGGUCUCAAGCGUUGUUCGGAAUCACUGGGCGUAAAGGGUGCGUAGGUGGCGUGGUAAGUCAGAUGUGAAAGCCCGGGGCUCAACCUCGGAACUGCAUCCGAUACUGCCAUGCUAGAGUACUGGAGAGGUGACUAGAAUUCUCGGUGUAGCAGUGAAAUGCGUAGAUAUCGAGAGGAAUACCAAAGGCGUAGGCAGGUCACUGGACAGUUACUGACACUGAGGCACGAAGGCCAGGGGAGCGAACGGGAUUAGAUACCCCAGUAGUCC